rnacentral:rRNA from 1 species
CUUUAUAAAUUAAAGCUUGUAUGAAUGGUAUAAUGUAAAUAUAACUGUCUUUUAUAUAAAAAUAAAAUUUAGCUUUUCAGUGAAGAGACUGAAUAUAUUUAGAAAGACGAGAAGACCCUAAUGAGUUUUAUAUUAAAGUUAUAAAAUAAAUAAUAUAUUUUAUUGGGGCGAUUAAAGAAUAUAUCUUCUUUUUAAAAGAAGAAAUAACUAUUUAUGAUUCAUUAUUAAUGAAAAAAGGUUUAAAUUACCAUAGGGUUAACAGCAUAAUCUUUUUUAAAAGUACAUAUCGACAAAAAGGAUUGUGACCUCGAUGUUGGGUUAAGAUAAUUAUAUAGUGCAGAAACUAUAAUAAUAAGUCUGUUCGACUUUUAAAUUCUUA